AUUGAACGCUGGCGGCAGGCCUAACACAUGCAAGUCGAGCGGCAGCGGGACCUUCGGGUUGCCGGCGAGCGGCGGACGGGUGAGUAAUGCCUAGGAAUCUGCCUGUUAGUGGGGGAUAACGCGGGGAAACUCGCGCUAAUACCGCAUACGUCCUACGGGAGAAAGCGGGGGCUCUUCGGACCUCGCGCUAACAGAUGAGCCUAGGUCGGAUUAGCUAGUUGGUGGGGUAAUGGCUCACCAAGGCGACGAUCCGUAACUGGUCUGAGAGGAUGAUCAGUCACACUGGAACUGAGACACGGUCCAGACUCCUACGGGAGGCAGCAGUGGGGAAUAUUGGACAAUGGGCGAAAGCCUGAUCCAGCCAUGCCGCGUGUGUGAAGAAGGUCUUCGGAUUGUAAAGCACUUUAAGUCGGGAGGAAGGGCUGUAGGUUAAUACCCUGCAGUUUUGACGUUACCGACAGAAUAAGCACCGGCUAACUUCGUGCCAGCCGCCGCUGUAAUAC
rnacentral:rRNA from 1 species